UAGUUUAUAUUUAAAAGUAAUCUCUGCCCUAUGAUUAUUUAAAUGGCUGCAGUAUUUUGACUGUACAAAGGUAGCAUAAUAAUUAGUCUUUUAAUUGAGGACUAGAAUGAAUGAGAAUAUGAGGAAUUUUUUUUAUUAAUAUUAAUAUUAUAAAUUAAUUUUUAGGUAAAAAAGCUUAAUUAUUUUUUCGGGACGAAAAGACCCUAUAGAACUUUAUUAAUUUUUUUAAAAAUUAAUUAUUUAGUUUUUUUUUAAUUUUUUUAAUUAAAUUUUAUUUAGCUGGGGUGGUUAAUAAAUUAAACUUUAUUUUAUAAAUUCAUUUAAUUAAUGUUUUUUUGAUCCUUAUUUAGAUUUUAAGAUCAAGUUACCUUAGGGAUAACAGCGUAAUUUUAAUGGGGAGUUCAUAUUUAUAUUAAAGUUUGCGACCUCGAUGUUGAAUUAAGAUAAGAAUAAGGGGCAG
rnacentral:rRNA from 1 species